GCUGCUGUGGCUCAAUGUAGAGUGUUCUCUCAAUCUAUCAAACAGACCACCGAGAUUUUAGGAAAACGUGGUGGGUUCGACUCCCACCAGUGGCA